rnacentral:tRNA from 1 species
CCCCUGCUGGCUCAGAGGGUAAAGCGUCUGUCUGCAAUGUGGGAGACCCGGGUUCAAUCCCUGGGUUGGGAA